AUUGAACGCUGGCGGCAUGCCUUACACAUGCAAGUCGAAUGGCAGCACGGGAGCAAUCCUGGUGGCGAGUGGCGAACGGGUGAGUAAUAUAUCGGAACGUGCCCAGUCGUGGGGGAUAACGCAGCGAAAGCUGUGCUAAUACCGCAUACGAUCUAAGGAUGAAAGCGGGGGAUCGCAAGACCUCGCGCGAUUGGAGCGGCCGAUAUCAGAUUAGCUAGUUGGUGGGGUAAAGGCCCACCAAGGCGACGAUCUGUAGCUGGUCUGAGAGGACGACCAGCCGAACUGGAACGGAGACACGGUCCAGACUCCUACGGGAGGCAGCAGUGGGGAAUUUUGGACAAUGGGCGCAAGCCUGAUCCAGCAAUGCCGCGUGCAGGAUGAAGGCCUUCGGGUUGUAAACUGCGUUUGUACGGAACGAAACGGCCCUUUCUAAUACAGGGGGCUAAUGACGGUACCGUAAGAAUAAGCACCGGCUAACUACGUGCCAGCCGCCGCCGUAACAC
rnacentral:rRNA from 1 species